UUUCCGUAGGUGAACCUGCGGAAGGAUCAUUACCGAGUGAGGGUCUCUCAGGCCCGACCUCCCACCCUGUGUUUUUGUGACCUUGUUGCUUUGGCGGGCCCGCCUCGAUGAGAGGCCGCCGGAAGCUCACCGCUUUGGGCCCGUGCCCGUUAGCAGCCCCCUUCAAUUCUUAAUAAACCUGUCGGUUGAGUUAAUGGAUAUAAUGAAAAAAAACUUUCAACAACGGAUCUUUUGGUUCUGGCCUCGAUGAAGAACGCAGCAGAUGGGAAGAGCACACGG
rnacentral:misc_RNA from 1 species